rnacentral:rRNA from 1 species
AUUGAACGCUGGCGGCAUGCUUUACACAUGCAAGUCGGACAAGUGGCGAACGGGUGAGUAAUAUAUCGGAACGUACCGAGUAAUGGGGGCUAACUAAUCGAAAGAUUAGCUAAUACCGCAUAAUAUUCGAGCGGCCGAUAUCGGAUUAGCUAGUUGGUGGGGUAAAGGCAUAACAAGGCGACGAUCAGUAGCGGGUCAUAGAGGAUGAUCCGCCAUACUGGCACUGGGAAACGGCCCAGCCGCCUCCGGGAGGCAGCAGUGGGGAAUUUUGGACAAUGGGCGCAAGCCUGAUCCAGCCAUGCCGCGUGUCGGAAGAAGGCCUUCGGGUUGGAAAGGACUUUUGUCAGGGAAGCGGUACCUGAAGAAUAAGCACCGGCUAACUACGUGCCAGCAGCCGCGGUAAUAC